UGUAAGGAUUCUGUGAGCUUCCUGGAAUGUGGAACACCUACAAAUACAAGAAUAUCUUUCCAGAGACUAUGUCCAGUUGUCCUAGUAACACAGACAAUACAAGGCUACUGUCCUCUUCUGCUUGCAGGAAAACUAUCCACUGUUCUUUUGGGAGGUGCAGGAGUCCAUGAAGUUCUCAGAGAAAGGUCACACAACCAUGCUGUUGGGAGUGUGAACAAAGGGCUGGACUGGAAUCAUCUGAGAGAGAGGCUGUCACAGAGCAGAAGAGGAACAGCUUCACCAUCUCAUUUGCUUUUUUGAAUGGCUCAAAUUAAAGUUGCACAUU